ensembl:lncRNA novel transcript, sense overlapping POU3F3
GGCAGCGAGCGGUCCGUCUCGCACGCGCGGGCACCGCGCUGGUCCUGGGCUGCAGGUUUCCCAGAUGAUGGCAUCCGAGAACUUAAACAAAGGGGGCUGCCGCCGGCGCGCAACGGCUGCGGAAAGUUGCGGUGGCGGAUUUCCAAGGAGCGUGGCCACGACCAGAGCUCUUGGCGAUGCGAGCCCCCGCUUCCCACCCCCGCCGAUCAGAGAAGGGGGCCGGCUGGUGAAGGGAAGAGGAAACUUUGAAACCACUGGGGACACAUCUGUCUAUAGGUGUCCGCGAGCCUGAUCUUUCUCGGUUGUGUGACAAGAACCUGACUUUUCCUGCAGCACAAGUGAAUGCCAGUGAGAUGAAACCAAUAAACUUUGACCAAAGGAAGAAAUCUGAAUUCUAAUCCAAGGAGCAUGGAGAGAGGCACUUUGAGGUUUUCCAAGCUCUCGUCCUAUCUAUGCUUUGGGCGCUGAACAGGGAGGGGACCGUGAUGCCAUGCAUGGCCAACAGCAACGGAUGCCAAGCAAGGCUCAUGGCAUAAGACAGACUCGAGGUGAGGGCACUCCCAACCACGCAGGUGAAAUACACACAUUCGAAGACUGCCCUUGUGGGUGUGUGUCCAAGUGCAGAAGCACAUAGCAGGGAGCCCACUUAAAUCCUGCCCUCCAGGAUCACAAGAAUCACAAGAUGCCAUAGUUCCAAAUUGAAAUGGAGAUGAUGUCAGAUAGUUUGUCUACGCACUGAGGGAGGGAGGUGGCCUAGGCCUUUGAUGAAAAUGGGCAGAGCAGCAGGAUAGAGUUUCUAGUGACUCUAGGAUGGGAGACUGGGUGACCUCCAAUUCUUUUCACCAAUGGAGGGCUGGAUAAAAUAAAAAUGCUAUGGUUUGAGUGUAUCUCAGACAAGGGCCAUAAACGAUGUACACUGCGCAUGGUUAGAUGACACUUUAACAACUGACACUUACACAUCAAGUGAGGGCGUCCUUCCACUGCACAGCUACAUAGAAAAAUAUGGAAUGGUAAAGAAGAAAGAAGAACCGUGAGCAGGAGAACCAUUCCAUUUUAUUCCUUAUAUGUACAAACAUGAAUAAUUUGACAUGAUGUUUAGACAGUUUCCCCCUAACUUAAGUCUUUUAAUUAAAAUGAAAGGAAGAAAAUACGCUUUAAAUAUGAAUGCGAGAAGGUGUGAGUUGACAGCCCCCAGCCUUCCUACUCUUCUCUCGCUGUUGUUAGCAAGCACAAUAAAAUCUCAUCUUCCCCUGUCGUCUUUUCAUAAUGUUUAUGGUUGUUUUAGGUAACACGUAAACCAUACUGAAUGUGAUAUUCCCCUUAUGACAUGUCAGGGGCACAUAUUAAACUAGAGCCUGUCCCUUAUUCGGCUAUUUACUUUUGUGGCAAAUCAAUGUAUUUUCCUUGACUCACCAGGCAAUAUUGCAAGGCUGCCCGUGGCCAGGAAGGUAAAUGCUAACUUUUCAGCCUGCGCCAAGUGGCACACCCUCGGCUCACUACCGAGUGAAUGAGAGCAGUAUAUUCUGGACUGAAAAAUGGGCUCGGAUGUUGGCCCUAAUAAAUUACAUGAUUAUUAAAAUGCUGUGCAGUUCCUGCCCAUAUCACUUUAUUUUACCUCUUGCUGUCUCCCCCUGGUUGCCUGCUCCACUUUACCUCU